CUUUGCGCAGUGGACUUUACAAUUGAGGAGCUUCAAACGGUAAGAGUUCACCAGUGUUGUGUAGCUUUCGUGAUUCUUCGUCCAAUAGUGGCUGUUCUUUCCGUAAAAUUUGUGAAAGCGUUACGACUGUUUUGCAGGAAAACUAUGGGAAAGUUUUAUCUCCAUCGCCCUGGAAUCAUCGCCAUGCAGGGAAUGAACAAAACACGUACGUGAGAAAACAAUCUCUCGCUUUUCUUUUUCCAUAAAUGAUUUCUGCUUGAAACAGGUCAUGGAAAUUCUACGGGUUCACAGGUGGGGGCUCCGAUGCCAAGACCACCGCUGCGAGGCAGGCGCUGAGAGAUGGCAAGUCCAUGGUUUUGAUGGUGGCGGCUACUGCAUUCGCG
rnacentral:lncRNA from 1 species